CUAAGCUUCAUCUCCGUUUCGUUUCUCGACGCACAUCGCCACGCUCUGUCUCGCAUCAUCUCCAUGGGUUUCGUGAUUCCAAUCACAAGAUGUUGCAGAACCCUCUUGCGUCAUCUCUCUUUGCCCCUUCCAACAACGCCGAUUCUGCAAAAAGCUCUUCGCUGACCACGCAUUGAUUGAUUUUCUCCUUCUUUGUUUUUGGUGGUGGCUGUUCUGGUAUGGAAACGUAUAAUGUUCCUGAAACUAGAAACUCGGAUGCUUUCUUGAAUUGACAUGCUGGAGAAAAAGCAGUGAAAACUGGGUUUUCUCUUUCUUUCGAGUUGCUGAUUUGCUUAAUUUUAAGAGGAAGAGCAGAGGUAAAAUGCACAAACUUCAUUUCUUGCCAAGGACCCUCAUAAGCAUUAAGAGGAUCCUGGAACUUGCUUUCUCUGUUUGUUAAGAAUUUACUCAUCUGUUAUGCAUUUUGCUUUUUCUAUCAUUAGAGGUUGGCAGGUUGCGUUACUUAGUGUAUGGUUGGAACUUGGAAUUGAUUUCUUUUAUACUUAGUGUUCUACUACACAAUACUUAUGGAAGUAUUUUGGUUUGUUUGAAUGGAGUUCUUGUGGUAUAACUUGUUUGGAUCAAUUUAUUAUGUAUGCAAAAUUAGAAAGCAGGUUGAAAA